GACAGAGGUGCCGAGCGUUAGGCGGAAUCACUGGGCUUAAAGCGUGUGUAGGCGGACUUCUAAGUACCUUGUGAAAUCCCACGGCUCAACCGUGGAACUGCUUGGUAUACUGGUUGUCUUGAGCCACUUAGGGGCAGUCGGAACAGACGGUGGAGCGGUGAAAUGCGUUGAUAUCUGGAGGAAUACCGGUGGCGAAGGCGGCAUCCUGGACCGGCAUUGACGCUGAGGAGCGAAAGCUAGGGGAGCAAACGGG
rnacentral:rRNA from 1 species